GAUGAAGAACGCAGCGAAAUGCGAUAAGUAAUGUGAAUUGCAGAAUUCAGUGAAUCAUCGAAUCUUUGAACGCACAUUGCGCCCGCCAGUAUUCUGGCGGGCAUGCCUGUUCGAGCGUCAUUUCAACCAUCAAGCCCUGCUUGCGUUGGGGUCCUGCGGCUGCCCGCAGGCCCUGAAAACCAGUGGCGGGCUCGCUAGUCACACCGAGCGCAGUAAUACAUCUCGCUUUGGGCGUGCGGCGGGUUCUUGCCGUUAAACACCCCCUUUUUACCAAGGUUGACCUCGGAUCAGGUAGGAGUACCCACUGAACUUAAGCAUAUCAAUAAGCGGAGGA
rnacentral:misc_RNA from 1 species